rnacentral:rRNA from 1 species
GACGAACGCCGGCGGUGCGCUUAACACAUGCAAGUCGAACGGAAAGGCCCCGUCUCUGCGGGGUGCUCGAGUGGCGACCGGGUGAGUAACACGUGAGUAACCUGCCAUUGCCUCUGGGAUAACUUCAGGAAACUGGGGCUAAUACCGGAUAGGUGCUCCUGCUGCAUGGUGGGGGUUGGAAGGUUUCGGCGGUUGGGGAUGGACUCGCGGCUUAUCAGCUUGUUGGUGGGGUAGUGGCUUACCAAGGCUUUGACGGGUAGCCGGCCUGAGAGGGUGACCGGCCACAUUGGGGUUGAGGUACGGCCCAGCCUCCUACGGGAGGCAGCAGUGUGGAAUAGUGCAUGAUGGGCGGAAGCCUUAUGCAGCAACGCCGCGUGCGGGAUGACGGCCUUCGGGUUGUAGACCGCUUUCGCCUGUGACGAAGCGUGAGUGGCGGGAAUGGGUAAAGAAGCAGCGUAUAACUAGGUG